rnacentral:tRNA from 1 species
AAUUUAUUAUUCAAUUAUGAAAUUAAACUGCAAAUUUAAUAGUAGAUUAAUUCUAUAAAUUU